AACACACAGAUUUGAAGGAGGAAAAGGCAGCACCUCACAGGCUCCCUGUGCCAAAAGGAAAAGGGACACUGCCCAUGGAGCCCUCCAAGCAGACACCUGACAGUUUGAAAGCAGAGGUUCUUCUUCAGGUGAUGAACUGUAAGAAUGAACUCUAGACAGCCCAUUCCCUCAAUUACAACUAAUAUUAGCUGAGCAUGAAGCACUUUAAGUUCCCAACAGCAAAGCCAGAAUUAUCCUGUCAGCUGGGAGUAAAUGGCAAGAUUGUUCCAUCUUAAAUCAUCCCUCAGUUCGAAUCAAGCGAAUCUGAGUGAAGUGGAGCAAAAUAACAGUGAAAACUUCAUCAUUCUGCCCAGAACAACAGAUCAAUGAAUGAUUAGGGAAGCCAAUGUUUCUCAUAAACACUACACAACAUCCAUCGGGAACGCUGGGUUGUGGCGGAGGCACCAAGGAGAGCUAUAUUGUGGGUUUUAUUUUAGCUGCACAAACGUUAUUUAUCCAGUUGCUGAACCUGAUCUGGUAAAGCCCUUCUGCCUCAGCUGACCGGACACAUGUCCCUGGCAUGGCAUCAGGGCAAUGGAAACCUGCCACAGUGGUCAGUUCACACUUGUGGGACCCCAGACAAUUAAUUAUCUUUUAGGGUAAUUUUCCCCUUUUCCAUAAAAGCUAUGAACAUUUUGAUCUACUUCAAACUCACUUGAAAGCGCCAAUAAACACAAGUGCAGGAGAUGAUGAUCACCUGAAGAACAAGUGUGUUUAAUUCACAAACAUUAAAAAAACAGUACAUAUAUUCAACAAAUUCACAUGAGAGACAAAGACAAAAGCCUUUGCUUUUUCAUCACUAUUUUACAGAGAGACAGAGGUGCUUUGGUGCCCAGGGGAAGUCGGGGUGCCAUGUCAGGGUUACAAAGAAAGGCAGCUACUGGGAAAAGCUGGGGGACACACACAGGAGUUUCCACAAGGAAGGGUUUUCUCCUUCUUUCACCACAAGAAGGGAUACAGAAAAGGCAAAGAACUUUAAAUACACAAAGGGAAUAAGGCAAGUGGACGCUUUUCAUCCCAUCUGUUGCAAAUACAGUAAUUUCUAUUUUCAGGGGGUAUCCAUUUCACGAGGCAGCAGCGUGGCUCCUUGCAUGGCUCAGCUGCCAGCAGAUAACAGACGUCUCCUGACUCCAAUCCAAGGAGUCAGACUGACCCUCCAUCAUGAACUCUGGGCUUUGUUGCAUUACAUUAAAUCCUAACAAAGUCAGAUUUUAAGUGCUACAAAGGGAAAACAUUUCCUAAGUGCGUCAUCCUUCUUUCCUCCCUAGCAAAAGUUAACAGCAGCAAAGUCACCAUUACAAUAACAAACAUGAAUAGGCACCACCGCGUUACCUCCUUCAGAAGCUUGACAUCUCAAGCCAACUCGAACAGAGCAUUUCACAUUUUGUUUUUUGAUCAAUUAAAAGGUACCUGAUGAGCACUGCCCAACAUCCAAGUGGCCAAAACUUUUUCCAGAGGAGACAAAUUUUUACUGUGAGGAAAAAAACCCACAAUACAGCAAAGUCAACAUUUGCUUAACUUUAAAUAAGUUUUCAAGACAAUCAUAAUAUCCACCUUCACAAAACUCAAUCGAGCAUGUUUGCGAGUGUGCUGGUAGCCAUCAAUUAAUUUUCAUUACUUGUUCAUACAUUUUCACCCAUGCAAUGCAAUUCACCUGUCACUGUCAUAAUUAAAAAAUUAAUGUUUACUGAAUAACUACAAAGUGGCCUCUAAGCAGCUAUAGCACUUGCAAUUCUAACUCUAAGGGAAACAUUAAUAUCCAAAAUGUAGAAAUAGCAAGCCUAUUGCAAUUUAUGGAGCUCAAUUAGCUGUUCCAUGCAUUGCUCAUUCAGAGUUAUGAAUUUUUAAUGACAACGAUAAACUGAGAUUUUCAAAGGAGUUCAGCAGACUUAUUUAUGGGAUUCAGGCGCAUGGCUGUUGCCAGCUUCUCCCAAAUCCCCAUCCAUAACCAUGAGAAAUAUGUAGUGCAUACUGACAUUUCUCAUGUCUGAGAGGACACUGCAUUUAGGGACCUCAAAGCUGACACAGCAUGCACGUACAGAAUUUUGUUCCACAACAAUCUCCUCUCUUGUCUCCUUCCAUGCUGUUCAUCCUUUAAUUACGUCAACACUUGUGAAAUUGUGAUGUUAAGCCCUCCUGAGCAUCAGUGGUUUUUCAGGUACUCUGCACAAGCUUCAAUAAAAAUCCCUCAAGUUUGAGCACACUGAUCAAUAUCAGAACACAGCUUGUAGAAAACAUUUUUCUAGGGCCUGAUCCAGAAGCAGUGUAUCCUAACUAGAACUGCCUUGGCAGCUGCAGAGAAUUUAUUGUCCAAAACACUACAGUUGCAGGUUAUAUUCAAACUGGUUAUCAAAAAAAGAAGAAUUUCUGGUAGUCUUUCAGUUUGCUUUAAGAUGUUUUAAAAGCAAAGGAAGGGCUUGGAUGUGAUUUUGUCAAGAGCUGUACCUGAGGAGCCUUGCACUGCUGCAUGCUGCAGAAUGAAAAUGUGAUUCAGUUAUUUAAGACAGCUGGUAGGAACUUUAACUCAUAUACUUGUCCUCACAGACUUCCAGCCUUCUUUGGUAAUAUGCUUACAAAACAUUAAUAACAUCCUGAGCAGCAGAUCAGUGGAUUGAACACAGCAUUCAAUUGCCUCAACUCUGAAGCAGCAGUCAGUUAGAUGCAUCUUUUGUUAAGGUGGUGGAAAUUUGUAAAUGAAGAUUUUGCUACAUAAUUUAUAGAACCCAUCUCGGGAGUUGUUGAACCAAAGCUUUGUUUUCUGAAUGGCUGGUCUUUACAUUUCGUUAUUCCAAGAGUGGGAAUUUUCAUACAUUAAAAUAGGAGAAUUAGCUGUGCAGUUAUUUUUUUAAUGGAGUUUGAUGUACAAAUCACACCGUUGCAUAUAUGAGGUAAGUUAGGCUGUGUCUAAGCUAAUACACAUUACAGUAGGGUCUAGGGAGGGCUUGGAAGCAAAGCAAAUGCCAGUCUAGAAACCUUUAAACUGCAGAUCAAUGCCCAAAUCUGGCAUUUGGAAAGGAAGGUGAUGGACAAAAACACAGGGAGCCUUUGAAAUGCGUAUCUUGACUCAUUUUCUAAAGUAUUGCUGGGAAAACAAUGUGGGUCUUGAACAACAAAAUAAUAAUAAACAAAAUAAUAAAAGAAUGUGGGAAUGUGAACAUUAAAUAGAAAAAUAGGUAAAUAACAGGACCAAAAACCCCAAUCCUUUUGCUUUCAAAUUUUGAAAUAUAGUUUCUAAAGAUGUACCCAAGUAUUCUUUCUGUUGAUUGAGUUCGACUUAAGCUCAGGUGUCAGCUUGCCCCACAUGUCUAUGCCUACUUUUCCAUUAAAAUUAUCGUCUGAAGAGAGAAAUUGAGCAGGCUUACAUAAGUAUCUGAGUGUCUUCCCAAUAUUUUCAGUCUAAAACAUAAUUCUUUUGUUUGUGUGUCUGCUUAGAAGUGUUUGCUUAAACUUUUAGGUGCCCAGCCUGGCUGAGUGCACACAAUAAGGCCUAAACUGUUUAUGUUGAGCACAAGGAUGACCUAGACAAAGUCUGCACUCUCUAACAAUCUUCACAGCCAACAUCUCUCUGUCCUGACGAAAGCUAUGGAUGAGUACAUGUUUAGCAAGUCAAUAAGAAUUUUGACAUUACACUGUAAUACCUGAUUGGUCUUCAACAUAUUCGCAGAGUAGUUUCCAGGAGAGUUUAUUGGAUCAUCUCCCAAGGGAAAACUUAGUCGUAAAUUAGAUUGGAAAGACUAAAAUGAGGGCAUUAUUCUGUCACAAAAUGCUUUUGCAUUUGGGCUGUUUAGUAGUAGCUACAUUUUGCAGGCACUCAAAGCAUAUCAGCUUAUAGCUUGCCCAGUUACAGAAUUUCCAGCGGGAGAGACUGAUGCCUUUUACUUUCUCUGCUUUUGGGAGCUUCAAUCAAGUAAAUCAUAGUUUCUUUCCAGGCAACAUAAAAUUGCACAAACUGCUACUUCAUAAACUAAAUAAUAUCAACACUCUGGAAGGAUUUUAGAAAAGCAAUAACCAUGUGAAAAGACAUCCCCUUUUACCAAUUUCACUCAGACAGCCAUAGCCCGUGAGAAGCUGUGAGCGCAUCUUGGGAUGCUUUCCCUAGGAAAGUCCAAGCAAGGGCUGUCUUAUCAAACUGAUGCCCGAAACUGCUUUGGAGAGGCAGUGUGGGCAAGCAGCAGCACAAGGUCUGCAAUGGGAUGUCUGCAUCCAAUAUCAGCUUCGACAUUUCUUUUUUAUACUUAGACAGCGGAGUCCUUGGAGCAGAGGUGCUCUCCUAACAACGCAUGGAGCCGUGACCCGAGUUGUUACCUUCACUGCACAAUGCUUCACGGUCAUAUUUACACAAAGUGCUGGUUGCACUGCCCCAGGCAUCUUGAGAUGUCAGUGGACUGAAUCAAAGCAGUGUAUUUAUUUUGGCAAAACAAGAUAUCACGUACCAAAGAAGAAAAGAGCAUUCCAUCCCUCGCUGUUCCUAUUUGUGAUAAAGUCCCAUCACAUUUUUGCUUGUGUCUAAGCUGAACUAAGUCUUGGGAGGCUUGUUACUUGGUCCUCUGGUUCAUGAGACUGGUUAGAGCACAUCAGGGAACUCAUCCAUCCAUGUCCAAGUCUUCCCAAGGAGAGAAAGUGGAAGAAAGACAAGAGGAGGAGAAGGAAGUGGAGGAGGAAGACUGAUGCUCAGCCUCUCACAGCUCAGAAGCACUUCCAGCUUCUCCAGCUUGCAUGCAGUGUGAGACAGCAAGUGGAUCAAGAGGAAUAAAAUACACAGGAAACAAAAAGGAGAGGUAAAGAAGGAUGUCUUUCCCAUAGUGGUUAUGAAAGAUCAAAAAUCUGAUCAGAAGUCAAAUGGAAGAGUACACAUGACAAAUGCAGUGCAGGCUGUAAUGGUGCCCAGAAUUACAAACCAUGGUAAGCAAACUGCCUGCGAAGGUCCUAGGAAUGUUUUGUAGUCAUUCAACAGAAGAAUGAAGUUUUAUUUGUUCAUUUGAUGUAUGAUGAGUAACAGGCUUCGUACAUCAGACAUUGUGAUUUCUUUUUUCCUAGUACACAGCCAGGCUAGUUGGUAGGAAUUAUGGGAAAAUCUAUAGUCAGAUCAAUUAAAUGCGUUAAUUAAAAUUUCUUCACCCUCUCCUAUGGAAGCAAUGGGAGCCCUCAGUUGGCAUAAUUCCCAUUCCUCAGAGCAAUGCAGAAUGAAUUAAACCUCCCAGAGAUCUGGUACAGAGGUGGAGCUGAACAACACAGGACUUUUCUAUUUUUCUAUUCAAAGUGCAGGUGGAGGUGCCAGGCCACUCCUGAAAGCAAAAGGCUGUUUCUAUUUCUGGAUGCAGGAACUGACUACACAUACUGAAAAUAUGUUAACCUUGCCAAAUUUCAACUCAACAUUCUCAGUCUUCAUGCUCACAAGAAGCAAAUCUCUGGCUAUCUAACCCUGAAAGAGCAGUUUAUUUAUUUUUGGAGAGCUUUGCUUUUCUUUCCCGAGAAAAUACUUUCCUAAAAACAGACUUCCAGUUUGUUUCAUAUGCGCAACAACCACUCUUUAAUGAGCAUUUUCAAAGCACUUCUUGGGAGGAACUAACUUUAUUGGCACUCUAGGACAUUUUUGCACAUAGAAAUUGCUGUUGUUAACUCUCUGGUUUCACUGAAGAGGAGAAUUUCCAUCCAAAUAUUGGAUUUUAGGAACUCUUAUUUCUAGCUGAGCAUAUAUAAAUACAACAUCUGAGCUCAACAUCACACCUACCUACUGAAACUAUUUCAGCCUUUGUAACUCUAAUCUCUUCAAGAAUAGAAACCUUGGAGAGAUUCAUUAAUUGUUGGCUUUUGAUUAGGUUUAUUUCCACUAAAAUAAAAAAUUAAAAGUCUUUUUGUUAUUUUUAAA